rnacentral:rRNA from 1 species
GACGAACGCUGGCGGCGUGCCUAAUACAUGCAAGUUGAGCGAUGAAGAUUGGUGCUUGCACCAAUUUGAAGAGCAGCGCACGGGUGAGUAACGCGUGGGGAAUCUGCCUUUGAGCGGGGGACAACAUGUGGAAACGAAUGCUAAUACCGCAUAACAACUUUAAACAUAAGUUUUAAGUUUGAAAGAUGCAAUUGCAUCACUCAAAGAUGAUCCCGCGUUGUAUUAGCUAGUUGGUGAGGUAAAGGCUCACCAAGGCGAUGAUACAUAGCCGAACUGAGAGGGUGGGCGGCCAGAUUGGGACUGAGACACGGCCCAAAGGGCUACAGGAGGCAGCAGGAGGGAAUCUUGAGGAAUGGGCGAAAGUCUGACCGAGCAACGCCGCGUGAGUGAGGAAGGUCGUCGGAUCGUAAAACUCUGUUGGUAGAGAAGAACGUUGGUGAGAGUGGAAAGCUCAGCAAGUGACGGUAACUAGCCAGAAAGGGACGGCUAACUACGUG